UACACGACCGUACCGCAAACCGACACUGGUGCGCGAGAUGAGUAUUCUAAGGCGCUUGAGAGAACUCAGGAGAAGGAACUCGGCAAAUUGACACCGUAACUUCGGAAGAAGGUGUGCCUUUAGUAGGUGAAGGGAUUUACUCCUAGAGCCCAAUGAGGUUGCAAAAAAUCGGUGGCUGCGACUGUUUAUUAAAAACACAGCACUCUGCAAACACGAAAGUGGACGUAUAGGGUGUGACGCCUGCCCGGUGCUGGAAGAUUAAAUGAUGGGGUGCAAGCUCUUGAUUGAAGUCCCAGUAAACGGCGGCCGUAACGAUAACGGUCCUAAGGUAGCGAAAUUCCUUGUCGGGUAAGUUCCGACCUGCACGAAUGGCGUAACGAUGGCCACACUGUCUCCUCCUGAGACUCAGCGAAGUUGAAAUGUUUGUGAUGAUGCAAUCUCCCCGCGGAAAGACGGAAAGACCCCAUGAACCUUUACUGUAGCUUUGUAUUGGACUUUGAACAGAUCUGUGUAGGAUAGGUGGGAGGCUUUGAAGUAGGGUCGCUAGAUCUUAUGGAGCCAACGUUGAAAUACCACCCUGGUGUGUUUGAGGUUCUAACCUAGGUCCAUUAUCUGGAUCGGGGACAGUGCAUGGUAGGCAGUUUGACUGGGGCGGUCUCCUCCCAAAGCGUAACGGAGGAGUUCGAAGGUACGCUAGUUACGGUCGGACAUCGUGACGAUAGUGCAAUGGCAUAAGCGUGCUUAACUGCGAGACUGACAAGUCGAGCAGAUGCGAAAGCAGGACAUAGUGAUCCGGUGGUUCUGUAUGGAAGGGCCAUCGCUCAACGGAUAAAAGGUACUCUGGGGAUAACAGGCUGAUACCGCCCAAGAGUUCAUAUCGACGGCGGUGUUUGGCACCUCGAUGUCGGCUCAUCUCAUCCUGGGGCUGUAGCCGGUCCCAAGGGUAUGGCUGUUCGCCAUUUAAAGAGGUACGUGAGCUGGGUUUAAAACGUCGUGAGACAGUUUGGUCCCUAUCUUCCGUGGGCGCUGCAGAUUUGAGGAAGCCUGCUCCUAGUACGAGAGGACCGGAGUGGACACACCUCUGGUGUAUCGGUUGUCACGCCAGUGGCAUUGCCGAGUAGCUAAGUGUGGAAGAGAUAACCGCUGGAAGCAUCUAAGCGGGAAACUCGUUUCAAGAUGAGAUCUGCCGGGGCCUUGAGCCCCCUAAAGAGUCGUUCAAGACCAGGACGUUGAUAGGUCGGGUGUGGAAGCGCAGUAAUGCGUUAAGCUAACCGAUACUAAUUGCUCGUGCGGCUUGACCU
rnacentral:rRNA from 1 species